AAAUAUUUCUAGACAUGCCUCACAUAUUUUAUACUUUUAACUUUUCAGGCCAAAAUGACGCUAAUGUGCCAAUGGCCCCAAGCACGAAAGGUCUAAAAGGUGGGGCUAUUGCUAGAUUAUCUGCUGGAGCAGUAGUUGGCGUUCUCUUAUUGG